rnacentral:lncRNA from 1 species
UUUCACUUAAGAAAUGUGUGUUUCCUAACGCGAGAAGUGGCAUUUCCCAGUGUAUCUCAGACGUCUUGUUGUCGAGCCGAAUGAGCAUGCGCUACGCGAUUUGCUCCUCUCCCCCCGGAAAAAAAGGGUUGUAUAGAAAAGCAUGCACAAGCGCCUCCGCAUACAAUGAAUCAGCAUUGUCUUUUUCAAAAACGCUACAGGGGCGAAGCAUUUGUCUUGAUUCCUAAGCGCAUGGACGCCGGGUUUGUGCCAAGGGCGUUCCCUUCGACCCCGCAGCAAGGGGUCUGACCCUCUCGCAUCUUCAGAGUGGUGUACCAUGAGAGGUCACCCGGGGAAGACCGUGGCAGCUUGUGCGCGAACAAGUUCUGUAUCGCCGGCGGGGGCGAUGCGGUUUUUUUCCGGAAACUCAAUAUGCAGCCAAAGGGCGAGCAUCCCACCACCAUGCACGAGGCGUAGAGUCCUAGUCGAGGCGUGGCUACCCCUGUUAGCACAUUGCAAUCUGGGCUGCUUGCAUUUCUUUCCAGCUAACUCGAGGACAGGAGCCAGAACAGAAGCACGGACACACGUUUGUUCCCGCGACGUUCACGUCACACACACGGCUGCCUGUGUCAUCUAAAUCAUCGGAUGCAAGACGAAGGAAAACGCAUAUAAUUAAUGGUAUCGUGCGCCCAGUGGCCUACUCCUUCCAGAAUCAUGAUGUCCCCUUCGAGGUCGUCAAGAUGCGGAGCCCCUCAAGGACGAUGUCUCUUGUGCAACGUAUCCCUUUUCUUGUUCUUUGCUAUAUCUGCUGGUCCUCGUUGAGGUGGUGCCCUCUUGGCAGCACCGUCUGGCAAAUAACGAGAGCAACAGCAUCCAGCCGACCGACACGGUAUUGGACUCGGCCCCCCACCAACCCUUGGACGUGGCCCCCGGAAUCUUCCGGUUCGUCGCCCGUCAUUAGCGAACAUAAAUGGCGCCCGCAGUAUGACCCAAGAAAGCAUACUGUCAACAGCCUUCAAGUUGUGGCGUUGGAAUGGACUCGGCUGGGGAAUAGAUGGGGAUACGCUCCAAUUGGUCCAUGGUGUGGCAGGUGUAUAAUGCUAGAACAAGGGUGCCAUCCACGGUGUCAACGGUUGUGCGGUACUGCAUGCAACGGCUUGCGAGUAGCGGGCUUCACAGACGAACUUGGCUGUGAAUUCUGCGAGACAGAUGGCGGCUAUGGGUGCCGAAAGUAUACGGAA